CGGCACAGGGGUUGGGGGGACACACACACCAAGGGUGACAUGGUGGUGGCACCUCCUUUGUCCCCGAAGUUGGCACAGCGGGUGACCCUGAGCCGGUGCCAGGGCGGGGACAUCAGGGUGGCAUCGCGGUGGCGGCGCUGUCCCCGUGCUCGGAGUUGUCGCAGCCGGGUGGUGACACCGGAGGUGACAACGCGGUGGCACCUUCAACAUCCCCAGAGGUGCCACGGAGGGUGGUGACACCCAGGGUGACACCAGGAUGUCACCUCGCUGUCCCCAGAGCUGCCCCAGGAGGUGACCCCGGUGCUGAUUCCAGGCUGGUGACACCCUGGGUGACACCCAUGGUGACACCGAUAGUGACACGAUGCCACCCCUGUGUCCCCAGAGCUGCCCCGGGAGGUGACCCCGGUGCUGAUUCCAGACCGGUGACACCGCUGGUGACAGCGAUAGUGAC
rnacentral:lncRNA from 12 species